ACCUGGGUGGCUCAGUGGGUUAAGCAUCUGACUUCGGCUCAGGUCAUGAUCUCACAGUGUGUGGGUUCGAGCCCCACAUUGGGCU
rnacentral:tRNA from 1 species